AUUUUGAGAUGGUCUAUUUAUUGAGAGCAACUUGGAUCCUAAAUUUGUCACCAGCUCUGGAUUUCUCUUCCAAGCCAGGAUUGUGUGAAGUCAUUACAAUUUAAAGCACACUGUUGGUCAGUCAUUCCCUGGACUCCAACAUACAGAGUAGAGAAGAAAUGAACUACUACAUGGAGAUUGCUUUCUCCUGCUUAUCAAGACAGAGUGUUAUAUGUUCACUUCUUCUUCUUGGGGCAUGUGUUCCAAGAAGAAUCAGGUUUCUAUUACAGAAUUGAAACAGAGGAAAAAUGACCUCAACAUCGUGAGGUACUCCUGCUCUUGGACAAAUACAGAAAGAAUCGAUUGUGGAGUAACUCUUGACUAACGAGCAUCAGUGAAUAACCACCUGCAGGGCUUGUUAUAUUUCUGAGUUGUAUGUAUGUAUGGUUUACAGUUGCAGCCAUGUGGCAGCUGCAGUGAGUUGACCAUAUUAAUAGUGAGUUUGUCUAUACCAUCUGCUCUCAUAUUGGCAUCUACUUUCUUCAACAUAGCACCCUAUUUAUGUUCCAUUAUUUCUUCUUUUCCUUCUUCAUUUUGAAUCAUCCUCACUGAUAUCUGUACCAUUUAAUGAUAUUAAAAAAGGAGGCUUUCAAUGGAGGACAGGUGGAUGGCAGGGAAACAUGACGAAAGAACUCAGUAGAAAAAAGUUGUAAUUAAUGGACUCAGAAAACUGUGUAAAAAAGUGAGUCUUCAGUUAAGAAAGUAUAUGGAGGUAGCAUGAAAGAGACAGGAGGGUUUAAAAGAAUCAAAGGAAAUGGCUAACAGGAGAGAGGAGAAUGAGGAUCAUACACGUGUAGGAUAAUGGCAGGGCAGUUCACAGAGAUCAUUAGAAAGAUACUUCAAGUUUUGGGCAACACAUCCCAAUACCAGUAACUCCAAGUAGCCCUCUGAAAUCAAGAGCCAACAGGUGAGGUUUCCUUUAACUUUAUUCUUGAAUUGCAGUCAAGAUUCACUUGUAUAGGCCCCAUUUUUUGAUGUUUUAGUUUGUUUCCAAAGCACUGUUCCAGUUCGUUUUUUCACUUAUCCUCACAAGGUAGCUGUGAGAGCUUCUGAGCAAAUCUCCUGGCACCCAACUCUUAACUAACUCCAUUAGAAAGCACUGACUUUGUGUGUGGAAGAUGAAAAAAAUUCUAUUAAAUUGUUGCUAGAUUUUUAGAACUAUAGCUAAAGUUCAGGAGAGGUUUGGAGUUCCAAAGAAUAGGCAGAUAGAGAAAAGAGCAAAUGUAUAUAUUCAGUAAAAGUCAACAAAAUUAACCUGGGCAUUAUUUGAGCUUUUGUUCCCUGAAGCCCUGGAUCAAUGAUGCAGAAAUAGACACUCACCUCUGACAAAGAAAAAGCCUGGAUACUGGCAUGGGAGGGCACGGUUCCUUUUCUUUCAGUCCCAGAUCAAAUUUAAACCUGUGAUUUUGGAGCUUACUCAUCAGAGGAGAAAUAUCAUGAGCUAUUUGCUCUCUCUGCUGUAAUACAGCUCUGGCAAGCCUGGAAGUUGUGUUGAGAUCGUCAAAUCCAUAGUCAAGGACCAUCUUUGUGAAUCAUGAAACCAUAUGCCACUGGUUGUCUGAUUUGGAGGAAAAAAAACACCCCAAAACAAAAAAACCCAACUCUGCACCAAAGAAACUAGUGAUGUGCUUAGACAGUGCCAAGGGCCAUUUGACCAUCUUACACCUUCUCAAUCUAUGCAUUUAAAAAAUUUGCUGCUUACUGCCUGAACCAUGUAAAAUACCAGAACUCCUGUAGUGCUAACAAGGAAUAAAGAUCUUGCACCAGA